rnacentral:rRNA from 1 species
AGAGUUUGAUCAUGGCUCAGGACGAACGCUGGCGGCGUGCUUAACACAUGCAAGUCACGGGGGGGUAGCAAUACCCAACCGGCGAACGGGUGCGUAACACGUGAGCAACCUGCCAAUCUGUGGGGGAUAGCCGGCCCAACGGCCGGGUAAUACCGCAUACGUUCACUGAGGGACAUCCCUUGGUGAGGAAACCUCCGGGGCAGAUUGAGGGGCCCGCGUCCGAUUAGCUAGUUGGUAGGGUAAAAGCCUACCAAGGCGACGAUCGGUAGGUGGUCUGAGAGGAUGAUCACCCACAAUGGGACUGAGACACGGCCCAUACUCCUACGGGAGGCAGCAGUGGGGAAUUUUGUGCAAUGGGGGAAACCCUGACACAGCGACACCGCGUGAGCGAAGAAGCCCUUUGGGGUGUAAAGCUCUGUCAACGGGAACGAAAAAAAUGACGGUACCCGUGGAGGAAGCAUCGGCUAACUACGUGCCAGCAGCCGCGGUAAGACGUAGGAUGCAAGCGUUGUCCGGAUUUAUUGGGCGUAAAGAGUUCGUAGGCUGUUUGUUAAGUCUGAUGUUAAAGACUGGGGCUCAACCUCGGAAAUGCAUUGGAUACUGGCAGACUGGAGUGCAGUAGAGGCUAGUGGAAUUCCCAGUGUAGCGGUGAAAUGCGUAGAUAUUGGGAAGAACACCGGUGGCGUAGGCGACUAGCUGGGCUGUAACUGACGCUGAGGAACGAAAGCCAGGGGAGCGAAUGGGAUUAGAUACCCCAGUAGUCCUGGCCGUAAACGAUGGAUACUAGGCGUAGUGGGUAUCGACCCCUGCUGUGCCGCAGCUAACGCGAUAAGUAUCCCGCCUGAGUAGUACGGCCGCAAGGUUGAAACUCAAAUGAAUUGACGGG